rnacentral:rRNA from 1 species
UUUUAGCUAAAWUAUUAUAAGUUAUGGUCUUUAAAAUUAAAAAAUUUGGCGGUAUUUUAGUCUAUUCAGAGGAACCUGUUUUUUGAUCGAUAGUCCACGAUAAUUAAUACUUUAACUUUAAAUUUAUAUAUCGUCGUUAGUAAAAAUUUUAGGAAAAUUUUAAUUUUUAAGAUUUUUAAUUAUAAUCGAAUUCAGAUCAAGGUGUAGUUUAUGUUAAAGUUAAAAUGGGUUACAUUAUAUUUAUAUGUAGUUUUUUAAUUUAAAAUUAAAUUUAAAAUGGAUUUGAUAGUAAAUUCUUUAUUUUUGAGAGUUGAUUUAGCUCUAAAAUAUGC